rnacentral:rRNA from 1 species
AUUGAACGCUGGCGGCAGGCCUAACACAUGCAAGUCGAGCGCGCGGCGGACGGGUGAGUAAUAUAUCGGAACGUGCCCAGUAGCGGGGGAUAACUACUCGAAAGAGUGGCUAAUACCGCAUACUAUUGGAGCGGCCGAUAUCGGAUUAGCUAGUUGGUGGGGUAAAGGGUCACCAAGGCAACGAUCCGUAGCUGGUUUGAGAGGACGACCAGCCACACUGGGAAGGAGACACGGCCCAGACUCCUACGGGAGGCAGCAGUGGGGAAUAUUGGACAAUGGGGGAAAGCCUGAUGCAGCCAUGCCGCGUGUAUGAGAAGGCCUUAGGGUUGUAAAGUACUUUUGGCAGAGAAGCGGUAUCGGCAGAAUAAGCACCGGCUAACUCCGUGCCAGCAGCCGCGGUAAUAC